CUGGUUACCUGGUAUCUGGGCGAAGUGAUAACAUCGCGACAGCGUUCUCUUCCGCGUGCAGCACAUGACGUUUUGUCGCAUAAAUGAAUGACGUUAUCUGUGUAGCGAUUGCUCUGUCGCCGCCGCCGCGAUAUCUGAUAUUAUUUUGUAAUCGCUGCCAUUAUUCGUACUAUCUAAAACAUCAUCGUUAACAUGAUGAGACAAUGAUCUUUAAAAAACGUUGAUGACCACGAAUCCGCUUAUACGAUUCGACAGCGACGUUGCAUCGCAUAGUUUGAUGGAACAGUUUCAUCGAAUAUUCUGUUUUCCCGACCCGUUGUUAUUUUCGUGUGGAGGAGAGUUAUUUAAAGCUAGCUGGCACCGAUCCAUUAUUGUCCAUCACCGUUUGUUGUUGCGGCUCGUAGUCCGUUUAUAAGUCGUAUGAAAAAACACCUCUAGUGGCUGCGAGAGCGCAGGACGACGUACUUGGUGAUAUCCUUCCCUGUUGUCCGCCAUCGGCGCCUCACGCGAUGUUUCCCACCAAAGGCCUGUUCCGGAACGUGUUCUUCCAGCCAUACAAUGAUCAGAACAACGUGGGAAUACGAGUCGCUGCCAAAGAUAAUAAACAUCUAGUACAACGAUUAACCUUAGAACAAACUGUUAAACAACGGCGUUGUGUUAAUUCUUUGCAAUGGAAUGAUACUGGAAAUUUAUUGCUUUCGGCUGGAGAUGAUAGACGUAUUGUGAUUAUUAAUCCAUUCACUCACAAAAAUGUUGUUGAUUACAAAACAAGACAUCAAACCAAUAUUUUCUGUGCAAAAUUUUUACCUACUAUGGAUAAUCGUAUUAUUUCAUGUGGUGCCGAUGGUUCUAUUCUCAAUCUUGAUUUGGAAAGACAGAAAGAAACAGAGUGGAAUUUUUUUACCUGUCACGAAACUCCAUGUUAUGAAAUAGAAACAAUACCUGGUGACCCUAACACAUUUCUUAGCUGUAGUGAAGACGGUACUGUUCGCCUUUAUGAUUUGAGAGCUAGUAAUUUGUGUUCUAGAUACAAAUGCAGAGAUCAUAUAUUGAUCAAUUGCGAUACACCAGUUUCUACUAUUGCGGUAAAUCCCAAAAAUCCUUACGAACUUGCAAUUGCCACUUUAGAUAGUACUGUAAGAGUGGUUGAUCGAAGAAAAAUUAUCUUACAAGAUCCAACUGAUAAAAUUGUUCCUGAAUGUGCUUUUACUGUUCCUCAUUUAAGUCAUCGUUCCUAUCGUAUAACAUCACUUUCAUAUUCAUCUGAUGGUAGAAAUAUACUUGCCAACUAUUCUGAUGAAGAUAUUUAUAUGUUUAGCACUGAUAAAGAUCCUAAUAUAACUGCAGUUGCAAAUGACUAUUUGGAAAAUCCACCAUACCCACCACCAUAUAGACGAAUAAGAUUGAGAGGUGACUGGACAGAUACUGGACCACUAUCUGAGCCUUCUGUUGAUACUGAAAGAGAUAGAAUCCAGUCUAUAGUAAUGGGACAGAUGAGUGAUAUUCUGGUUCAGAUAUUAAACACGCCAUCAUUGCGUUCUGCUAUAAUGCAUAACUGGAGGCCAUUAUAUUCUCGACUUACAAGACAAACACUAGAUAGUGUACAAAUCAAUGGACCUAACAAUGAAAAUUCAAAUUUGGAUGCCAAUAAUGUCGAACCAUCCACUUCAACUGACAGUGGGCAAGAAACUGAAAAAAGAAAAAAAUUAAAAUUAAAUGAACGAUGCCCAGGGUUUAAUGAUUUUGUUCCACUUCAGCCUGUUAAAGCACAAUACAAAGGUCAUCGGAAUUCUAGAACUUUAAUUAAAGAAGCAUCAUUCUGGGGCAAUGACUUCAUUAUAUCUGGUAGUGAUUGUGGACAUGUGUUUAUAUGGGAUCGUUAUACAUGUGAAAUAGUAAUGUUAUUGAGGGGUGAUAAUCAUGUAGUUAAUUGUAUUCAGCCACAUCCUAGCUUGCCUUUACUAGCAACGUCUGGUGUUGAUCAUGAUGUUAAGCUUUGGAGCCCAAGACUUCCAGAUAUUGGGUUCUCUCAAGAAAUGGCGAAUGAGCUUGUUGAAAAGAAUAAAUUAAUGAUGGAACAAUCAAGGGAUACAAUUACUGUGUCACCAACGUUAAUAGUGCGUAUGCUUAAUCGUUUCAAUAUACUCAGACAAGAAUAAUUCAUACAGAAAAAGUGAUCUACAGUAUUUUCAAUGGCAGCUUUUGUAUCAUUAAUUAGACCUGAAGUCCUUAUCGAAUUGAAUGAGAUGAGAAGAAACACAUAGGACACUUGGACUUUUGUUAACUUUCAAUUGAGCCCAGCUGAACUCUUGACUUACUACUGAUGUAUUUUUAUGUUUAUUAACUAAUGUAUAGUUACAUAUUUGUUUAAAAUAGCUUUAAGUUCAAUGUUUAGGAAUAUAAUUUUUAUUUAAA